rnacentral:rRNA from 1 species
GACGAACGCUGGCGGCGUGCUUAACACAUGCAAGUCGAACGGAAAGGCCCUGCUUUUGUGGGGUGCUCGAGUGGCGAACGGGUGAGUAACACGUGAGUAACCUGCCCUUGACUUUGGGAUAACUUCAGGAAACUGGGGCUAAUACCGGAUAGGAGCUCCUGCUGCAUGGUGGGGGUUGGAAAGUUUCGGCGGUUGGGGAUGGACUCGCGGCUUAUCAGCUUGUUGGUGGGGUAGUGGCUUACCAAGGCUUUGCCGGGUAGCCGGCCUGAGAGGGUGACCGGCCACAUUGGGACUGAGAUACGGCCCAGACUCCUACGGGAGGCAGCAGUGGGGAAUAUUGCACAAUGGGCGGAGGCCUGAUGCAGCAACGCCGCGUGCGGGAUGACGGCCUUCGGGUUGUAAACCGCUUUCGCCUGUGACGAAGCGUGAGUGACGGUAAUGGGUAAAGAAGCACCGGCUAACUACGUG